UUCUCAUUUCAGAUUUCAGAAAUUAAAAAAAAAUAUUCUUCAAAUAUUAUUUUUUUUUCAAAUUUCAAAUAUUGAAAAAUUUCAAUAAGUAAUCUUUAAUUGCAUAGUAUGGCGCAUUAGAUUUGUAAAAUCUUUGAUCACAUUUAUUUAUUUGUUAUGCCGGAUCUAACAGUGUAUUUAGAUUGUUAAUUUUGGGUCCAGUUUUCAAAUUGGUCUACAUUAAGGUCCAAAGGGUCCAAAAUUAAACUUUGUUUGAUUUUAGCAAAAAUUGAAUAUAUGGGGUUCUUUGAUAUGCUGAAUCUAACCAUGUAUUUAGAUUUUUUAUUUGUGGACCCCGUUGUCAAAUUGGUUCAUAUUGAGGUCAAAAGGGUCCAAAAUUAAACUUUGUUUGAUUUCAUCUAAAAUUGAAUUAUUGGGGUUCUUUGAUAUUCCAAAUCUAACCGUGUAUUUAGAUUUUUAAUUUUGGGUCCUGUUUUUAUACGACCGCAAAAAUUGAAAAUUUUUUGGUCGUAUAUUGGUAUGACGUUGGCGUCGUCGUCGUCGUCGUCGUCGUCGUUGUCGUCGUCGUCGUCGUCGUCGUCGUCGUCUGGCGUCGUCCGGCGUCGUCCGAAGACACAUUGGUUUUCGCACUCUAACUUUAGUUUAAGUGAAUGGAUCUCCAUGAAAUUUUACCAUAAGGUUCAAUACCACGAAAGGAAGGUGGGGAUUGAUUUUGGGGGUUAUGGUAUCAACAGUUAAGGAAUUAGGGGCCAAAAAGGGGCCAAAAAUAAGCAUUUUUGUAACUUCCAGACAAUAACUUGUGUGUAAGUGUAUGGAUCUCUCUGACAUUGUACCACAAGGUUCCAUAUCACAAAGGGAAGGCUGUAAUUGAUUUUGGGGGUAAUUGCCUCAAAAUUUUAGGAAUUAGGGGCCAAAAAAGGGGCAAAAAACAAGCAUUUUUCUAGUUUCAUGACAAUAACUUGUGUGUAAGUAUUUGGAUAUUUCUGAAAUUGUACUACAAGGUUCCAUAUCACAAAGGGAAAGCUGGAAUUGAGUUUGGGGGUAAUUGCCCGAAACGUUUAGGAAUUGGGGGCCAAAAAGGGGCCAAAAAUAAGCAUUUUUCUAGUUUCCAGACAAUAACUUGUGUUCAAGUGUAUGGAUCUCUCUGAAAUUGUACUGCAAGGUACCAUACCACAAAGGGAAGGCUGGGAUUGAGUUUGGGGGUGAUGAAUCAUAAGGGGGUUCAAAAAAUUUGGGGGGGGGGAUUUUUUUUUUUCUUUUUUUUUCUUUUUUUCCUUUUUUUUUUCUUUUAAAAUUUUCCAUUUUAAGUUGGUUAUUUCUGAUUAAUAUUUAAAAGCAAAUAAUAAUGAUAUGGUAGGAGAUACACACCAAACAGGAUGUGUAAAUUAUUAUAUAAUAAGUAUUGUGCAAUAGCAAGAAAUUUUCAAUUGCACAGUAUUGCACAAUUGCAAGAAAUCUUCAAUUGCACAGUAUUGCGCAAUAGCAAGAAAUCUUCAAUUGCACAGUAUUGCGCAAUAGCAAGAAAUAUCCAAGAGCACAAUAUUGCGCAAUAGCAAGAAAUUGUCAAUUGUACAGUAUUGCACAAUAGCAAGAAAUAUUCAAUUGCACAGUAUUGUGCAAAAGAAGAUACUUCGUAUAAAUUGCUUAUUUCUUGAUCAAUUUCAAUGGGGUUUUAUUCUUGAAUUCUUGGGGUUCUUUAAUAUGCUGAAUCUAACCGUGUAUUAAGUUUUUGGAUUUUGGGCCCCGUUUUUAAAUUGGUCCACAUUGAGGUCCAAAGGGUCCAAAAUUUAACUUUGUUUGAUUUCAUCAAAAAUUGAAUUAUUGGGGUUCUUUGAUAUGCCGAAUCUAACCGUGUAUUUAGAUUCUUAAUUUUUGGUUCCGUUUUCAAAUUGGUCUACAUUAAGGUCAAAAGGGUCCAAAAUUAAACUUAGUUUGAUUUUAACAAAAAUUGAAUUUUUAGGGUACUUUGAUAUGCUGAAUCUAAACAUGUAUUUAGAUUUUUGAUUAUGGGCCCAGUUUUCAAGUUGGUCCAAAUCGGGGUCCAAAAUUAAACUUUGUUUGAUUUCAACAAAAAUUGAAUAUAUGGGGUUCUUUGAUAUGCUGAAUCUAACCAUGUAUUUAGAUUUUUGAUUUUUGGGCCCCUUUAUCAACUUUAUCCACAUUGAGGUCAAAAGGGUCCAAAAUUAAACUUUGUUUGAUUUCAUCAAAAAUUGAAUUCUUGGGGUUCUUUGAUAUACUGAAUCUAACCAUGUAUUUAGAUUUUUUAUUUGUGGAUCCGCUAUCAAAUUGGUUCAUAUUGAGGUCAAAAGGGUCCAAAAUUAAACUUUGUUUGAUUUCAUCUAAAAUUGAAUUAUUGGGGUUCUUUGAUAUGCCAAAUCUAACCGUGUAUUUAGAUUUUUAAUUUUGGGUCCCGUUUUUAAAUUGGUCUACAUUAAGGUCCAAAGGGUCCAAAAUUAAACUUAGUUUGAUUUUAACAAAAAUUGAAUUCUUGGGGUUCUUUGAUAUGCUGAAUCUAAACAUGUGUUUAGAUUUUUGAUUAUGGGCCCAGUUUUCAAGUUGGUCCAAGUUGGGGUCCAAAAUUAAACUUUGUUUGAUUUCAACAAAAAUUGAAUAUAUGGGGUUCUUUGAUAUGCUGAAUCUAAACAUGUAUUUAGAUUUUAGAUUUUUGGCCCAGUUUUCAAGUUGGUCUAAAUUGGGGUCCAAAAUUAAACUUUGUUUGAUUUCAACAAAAAUUGAAUAUAUGGGGUUCUUUGAUAUGCUGAAUCUUACCAUGUAUUUAGAUUUUUUAUUUGUGGGCCCGCUAUCAAAUUGGUUCAUAUUGAGGUCAAAAGGGUCCAAAAUUAAACUUUGUUUGAUUUCAUCAAAAAUUGAAUUAUUGGGGUUCUUUGAUAUGCCAAAUCUAACCGUGUUUUUAGAUUUUUAAUUUUGGGUCCCGUUUUUUAAAUUGGUCUACAUUAAGGUCCAAAGGGUCCAAAAUUAAACUUAGUUUGAUUUUAACAAAAAUUGAAUUCUUGGGGUACUUUGAUAUGCUGAAUCUAAACAUGUGUUUAGAUUUUUGAUUAUGGGACCAGUUUUCAAGUUUGUCCAAGUCGGGGUCCAAAAUUAAACUUUGUUUGAUUUCAACAAAAAUUGAAUAUAUGGGGUUCUUUGAUAUGCUGAAUCUAACCAUGUAUUUUGAUUUUGGACAUUGGACCAUAAUAGGUAAAUUAAAAAAAUUGAAGUUCUUAGACAACAUUCUUUCUGUGUCAGAAACCUAUGCUGUGUCAAAUAUUUAAUCACAAUCCAAAUUCAGAGCUGUAUCAAGCUUGAAUGUUGUGUCCAUACUUGCCCCAACUGUUCAGGGUUCAACCUCUGCGGUCGUAUCAAGCUGCGCCCAGCGAAGCAUUUUAUUUAAAUUGGUUUACAUUAAGGUCCAAAGGGUCCAAAAUUAAACUUAGUUUGAUUUUAACAAAAAUUGAAUUCUUGGGGUUCUUUGAUAUGCUGAAUCUAAACAUGUGUUUAGAUUUUUGAUUAUGGGGCCAGUUUUCAAGUUGGUCCAAGUUGGGGUCCAAAAUUAAACUUUUUUUGAUUUCAACAAAAAUUGAAUAUAUGGGGUUCUUUGAUAUGCUGAAUCUAACCAUGAAUUUAGAUUUUUUAUUUGUGGGCCAUGCUAUCAAAUUGGUUCAUAUUGAGGUCAAAAGGGUCCAAAAUUAAACUUUGUUUGAUUUCAUCAAAAAUUGAAUUUUUGGGGUUCUUUGAUAUUCCAAAUCUAACCGUGUAUUUAGAUUUUUAAUUUUAAGUCCCGUUUUUUAAAUUGGUCUACAUUAAGGUCCAAAGGGUCCAAAAUUAAACUUAGUUUGAUUUUAGCAAAAAUUGAAUUCUUGGGGUUCUUUGAUAUGCUGAAUCUAAACAUGUGUUUAUAUUUUUGAUUAUGGGCCCAGUUUUCAAGUUUUUCCAAGUUGGGGUCCAAAAUUAAACUUUGUUUGAUUUUAACAAAAAUUGAAUAUAUGGGGUUCUUUGAUAUGCUGAAUCUAACCAUGUAUUUAGAUUUUGGAUAUUGGACCAUAAUAGGUAAAUUAAAAAAUUUCAAGUUCUUAGACCACAUUCAUUCUGUGUAAGAAACCUAUGCUGUGUCAAAUAUUUAAUCACAAUCCAAAUUCAGUGCUGUAUCAAGCUUAAAUGUUGUGUUCAUACUUGCCCCAACUGUUCAGGGUUUGACCUCUGCGGUCGUAUCGAACUGCGCCCAGCGGAGCAUUUUAUUAUGUCGUAUAUUGGUAUGACGUUGGCGUCGUCGUCGUCCGAAGACACAUUGGUUUUUGCACAAUAACUUUAGUUUAAGUGAAUGGAUCUCUAUGAAAUUUUACCAUAAGGUUCAAUACCACAAAAGGAAGGUUGGGAUUGAUUUUGGGGGUUAUGGUCCUAACAGUUUAGGAAUUAGGGGCCAAAAAGGC